ACAGAUCGUUCAGUAGUUUGAUCCUGGCUCAGGACGAACGCUGGCGGCGUGCCUAACACAUGCAAGUCGAACGGAGUAAUUACUUCGGUGAUUACUUAGUGGCGAACGGGUGAGUAACGCGUGAGAAACCUGCCUUUCAGUGGGGGACAACAGUUGGAAACGACUGCUAAUACCGCAUAAUGUUAUUUGGGGGCAUCCCUGGAUAACCAAAGAUUUAUUGCUGAAAGAUGGUCUCGCGUCUGAUUAGCUAGAUGGCGGGGUAACGGCCCACCAUGGCGACGAUCAGUAGCCGGUCUGAGAGGAUGAACGGCCACAUUGGGACUGAGAUACGGCCCAG
rnacentral:rRNA from 1 species